GACGAACGCUGGCGGCGUGCCUAACACAUGCAAGUCGAACGGAAAGGCCCUGCUCUUGCGGGUUUCUCGAUUGGCGAGCGGGUGAGUAACACGUGAGUAACCUGCCCUUAUCUUUGUGAUAACUUCAGGAAACUCGGGCUAAUACCGGAUAGAAUCUCUUGCAGCAUGGUGGUGGUUGGUAAAUUUCGGCUGUGGGGGCUGUACUCGCUGCUUAUCAGCUUGUUGGUUGGGUAGUGGCUGACCAAGGCUUUGACGGAUAGGCUGCAUGAGAGGGUGACCGGCGUCAUUGGGCCUAAGAUACGGCGCAGACUCCUACGGUAGGCAGCGGUGGGGAGUCUUGCACAAUGGGGCGAAGCCUGAUGCGGCAACGCCGCGUGCGGGAUGACCGCUUUCUGGUUGUAAACCGCUUUCGCAUGUGCCGAGGCGUGAGUGACGGUAAUGGGUCAAGAAGCAACGGCUAACUACGUG
rnacentral:rRNA from 1 species